rnacentral:rRNA from 1 species
GACGAACGCUGGCGGCGUGCUUAACACAUGCAAGUCGAACGAAGUGGCGAACGGGUGAGUAACGCGUAAUCAACCUGCCCUUCAGAGGGGGACAACAGUUGGAAACGACUGCUAAUACCGCAUACUGAAGGAGGGGUUUGCGUCUGAUUAGCUAGUUGGGGGGGUAACGGCCCACCAAGGCGAGGAUCAGUAGCCGGUGUGCGAGGGUGAACGGCAAAAAUGGGACUGGAACACGGCCCAGAAUCCUACGGGGGGCAGCAGUGGGGAAACUUCGGCAAUGGACGAAAGUCUGACGGAGCAACGCCGCGGGAGUGAUGACGGCCUUCGGGUUGUAAAGCUCUGUUAAUCGGGACGCGGUACCGGAAUAGAAAGCCACGGCUAACUACGUGCCAGCAGCCGCGGUAAUUC